rnacentral:rRNA from 1 species
UACGUAGGGGGCGAGCGUUGUCCGGAUUCAUUGGGCGUAAAGAGCACGCAGGCGGUUUGGCAAGUCGGACGUGAAAAUCCGGGGCUCAACCCCGGACCUGCAUCCGAAACUGCCCGACUAGAGGUAGGUAGGGGAGAUCGGAAUUCCUGGUGUAGCGGUGAAAUGCGCAGAUAUCAGGAGGAACACCGGUGGCGAAGGCGGAUCUCUGGGCCUUACCUGACGCUCAGGUGCGAAAGCUAGGGGAGCGAACAGG